rnacentral:lncRNA from 1 species
AAGUCUUCUUUUCUCUUCCUCCUGCUGAGUUCUACCUGACUGCAGUCCCCUGCUUUCUCUCCUGUCCACUUGCCCUGAAAUACUUGCCUCAAAAUCUGCAUCUGGGAAACACACAUAAAGGCUACAUCUUCACUGCUACACUUGUCCACACCACCAUUAUCUCUGGUCUGGAUUUUUAAGGUAAUUUGUGGAAUUUUUGUCUUGUUUUCGUCUUUGCAGUUCCUGCAAAAUAUUCUCACUUCACCAGCUAGAAUGUUUCCUACAAACUUUUUCAAAUUAUGUCACUUCUCUGACCAAAAUCUUUGUUAACACCCCCCCCCCAUUUAUUAGGGUGCCUGGUGUCUCAGUCGGUUAAGUGACCAACUUCUGCUCAGGUCAUGAUCUCACAGUUCAUGGGUUCAAGCCCCGCUUCGGGCUCUGUGCUGAUAGCUCAGAGCCUGGAGCCUGCUUCCAACUAUGUGUCACCCUCACUCUCUG